AUGCUCAUUCGAAACACUGCUUCUGCUAUUUCGAAACAUGACGUUUUGUUUCAUUUCGAUCGAAACGUCCACUUUGUUUUGCUUCUAAUAAUAUUAUCAAAAUCUUCAGCCAACAACAUGUAUCACACAUCCCCAAUUGGACAUACAAGCAUUAGAAAAUCCCAACUUGACACACACGUAUUACAAAAUCCCAACCGAAAACACAAGCAUUACAAAACCCCAACUUGGCACACACGUAUUACGAAAUUCCAUUUGGAAACACAAGCAUUACAAAACCCUAACUAG